AUGGAUGGUGAUCACGUGACUUGGCGGCAUUUUGACCAGGCAGCGUUGACAUGCAUAUGCAUCAAAGAGGCUGUCCUGUCUGAAAAGACAGCAGUGUGUGACUGCCACCCCCGCCACGAAGGGAGAUCAAGGACCCACACAGCACAGCGCACGGAAGGAGAGGAGAGAGAGAGAGAAAAGCCAAGCACCAAGCACCAAACCCCUCACAUUGGUCAUUUCCUCAGUCACUUUAUCAAUAAAAAUCCACCCUUCGGGGAACUUACCUGCAUCCUUGUGUCGUGUGCUUCUUCACCCCGUCACUAUAUAUAUAUACAGGUGCUGGUCAUAUAAUUAGAAUAUCAUCAAAAAGUUGAUUUAUUUCAUUAAUUCCAUUCAAAAAGUGAAACUUGUAUAUUUUAUUCAUUCAUUGCACACAGACUGAUAUAUUUCAAAUGUUUAUUUAUUUUAAUUUUGAUGAUCAUAACUGACAGCUAAGGAAAAUCCCAAAUUCAGUAUCUCAGAAAAUUAGAAUAUAACUUAAGACCAAUGCAAAGAAAGGAUUUUUAGAAAUCUUGGCCAACUAAAAAGUAUGAACAUGAGAAGUAUGAGCAUGUACAGCACUCAAUACUUAGUUGGGGCUCCUUUUGCCUGAAUUACUGCAGCAAUGCAGCAUGGCAUGGAGUCGAUCAGUCUGUGGCACUGCUCAGGUGUUAUGAGAGCCCAGGUUGCUCUGAUAGUGGCCUUCAGCUCUUCUGCAUUGUUGGGUCUGGCAUAUCUCAUCUUCCUCUUCACAAUACCCCAUAGAUUUUCUAUGGGGUUAAGGUCAGGCGAGUUUGCUGGCCAGUUAAGAACAGGGAUACCAUGGUCAUAAACCAGGUACUGGAAGCUUUGGCACUGUGUGCAGGUGCCAAGUCCUGUUGGAAAAUGAAAUCUGCAUCUCCAUAAAGUUGGUCAGCAGCAGGAAGCAUGAAGUGCUCUAAAACUUCCUGGUAUACGGCUGCGUUGACCUUGGACCUCAGAAAACACAGUGGACCAACACCAGCAGAUGACAUGGCACCGCAAACCAUCACUGACUGUGGAAACUUUACACUGGACCUCAAGAAAUGUGGAUUGUGUGCCUCUCCUCUCUUCCUCCAGACUCUGGGACCCUGAUAUCCAAAGGAAAUGCAAAAUUUACUUUCAUCAGAG
ensembl:lncRNA